rnacentral:rRNA from 1 species
UGCAGCCUGCAACUCGGCUGCAUGAAGCUGGAAUCGCUAGUAAUCGCAGAUCAGAAUGCUGCGGUGAAUACGUUCCCGGGUCUUGUACACACCGCCCGUCACACCAUGGGAGUUGGGAAUGCCCGAAGUCAGUGACCCAACCGCAAGGAGGGAGCUGCCGAAGGCAGGCUUGAUAACUGGGGUGAAGUCGUAACAAGGUAUC